AAAAUUUUUUUUUGCCAUUUCCAAAAAGACACAAGGUUUUGACCCUGCAUGGUACCAUGCAGGGUCAAAACCUUGUGUCUUUUUGGAAAGUAAUUUUUGAGGAAGUUGAGCAAAAUUUUUUUUUCCCAAAAAUUUUUUU